rnacentral:tRNA from 1 species
GCUUUGGUGGUUCAGUGGUAGAAUACUUGCCUGCCCGCGCGGGAGGCCCGGGUUCGAUUCCCGGCCAAUGCA